ACGGAUCCGAGUGUUUGGAAAAUGCCACGAUGGUGCUGGUUCCUGGGCUGCCAUCGACGACGAACAUAAACAUACUUGAUCUAACGAAUUUACAGCAUCUGGGACUCUCGGGGGAGGUACCCUCGGUUCAUUUACAGUUUCUGCUAUCGACUGCUCAUCUCAAUCGUUACAAGCUGCUUCCCGAUGGCACCGUUUGCGUUUGUCUAUCUCAAACUAUACUGGAGACUGUCGGUACGGGUGAUUCCGAUCGGCGCAUGAGCACCUCGAUCAACGUUGCCAUUUAAGAUCCGAUCUCGUGGGCAGCGGAAACCGACGGAGAUGCAAGUCAUCCAUCGGAAGCGGUUCAUGUGCUGAGCAUUGUGGUCCGCGACAUGGGCGAUAUGGAUGAUCUUCAAAUGGAACAAGUGUUCGGUUCAUUCAGCGCACAUCACCUUGGAGAGCUGAUGAGUUCCAAGUUCGUCAGAUCACUUGAAGAAGCGUCAAUUCCCGAAAUUUUUCACUUAUCGUGCCCGUGACAACUUUGAGGAAGAUCAAAUCUAUCGUCACUUGGAACACGGCGUUUGCCUUCCAACGAGAGCUGAAUCGUAUGAGAACUUACGAAAUGAAAGCUUUGCAACCGGUCAACUGCUGGAGGCAAUGGACAAACUGGAAGUUGCCUUUUCACAUCCACAGGCUAAACGGAUAGAUUAUACCCAUAUGUCUCUGAUUUGGAUCCUGUUAAGAACGAGGAACUAUGAAUUAUUAGUUCGAUCAAUGGUCAUAUACCUCCAAAACGACGAACUGACCGACAGAUUUGUAGUUGCUCGAACCAAACACCUGAAUAUUCCAGCAAAACCUACCUGAAAUA